GAAUAUUGGACAAUGGGGGCAACCCUGAUCCAGCCAUGCCGCGUGUGUGAAGAAGGCCUUUUGGUUGUAAAGCACUUUAAGCAGUGAAGAAGACUCCAUGGUUAAUACCCAUGGACGAUGACAUUUGCUCCAGCAUACGCACCGGCUAACUCUGUCCCCGCAGCCGCUGUAAUACAGAGGGUGCAAGCGUUAAUCGGAAUUACUGGGCGUAAAGCGAGCGUAGGAGGCUUGAUAAGUCAGAUGUGAAAUCCCCGGGCGUAACCUGGGAACUGCAGCUGAUACUGUUAGGCUAGAAUAGGUGAGAGGAAGGUAGAAUUACAGGUGUAGCGGUGAAAUGCGUAGAGAUCUGGAGGAAUACCGAUGGCGAAGGCAGCCUUCUGGCAUCAUAUUGACACUGAGGUUCGAAAGCGUGGGUAGCAAACAGG
rnacentral:rRNA from 1 species